CAGUCGCCGCGGGAAUACGUAGGGUGCGAGCGUUAAUCGGAAUUACUGGGCGUAAAGCGUGCGCAGGCGGUUCGUUAAGACAGAUGUGAAAUCCCCGGGCUUAACCUGGGAACUGCAUUUGUGACUGGCGAGCUAGAGUAUGGCAGAGGGGGGUAGAAUUCCACGUGUAGCAGUGAAAUGCGUAGAGAUGUGGAGGAAUACCGAUGGCGAAGGCAGCCCCCUGGGCCAAUACUGACGCUCAUGCACGAAAGCGUGGUGAGCAAACAGGAUUAGAGACCCCAGUAGUCCCUGUCUCUUAUAC
rnacentral:rRNA from 1 species